AGGGGUAUAGCUCAGUGGUAAAUCGCAUGCUUGGCAUGCACGAGAUCCUGGGUUCAAUCCUCAGUACCUCCA
rnacentral:tRNA from 1 species